CGAUAAAGAAAACAUGAAAAUCCUUCAAACAAGCUUCUUAAGGAAAUGCAAGAGGAGGAGCUUCUUAAUGUACGCAGAGGACUGAUGAAAUUAUUCAUGGCUCAUGAAAGAAAUGUUAAUAUGUGAAAUACAGUUAUCAACAUAUUUUAUCUAAUUGUUUUGUAUAUAACAGAAAAUAGAAUAGUCCUAUGAAGAGAAAAAUACACAUGUCUUCUACUGGAUGAGAAAGAACCGCUAUAAUACUACUCAUUUUAUCUUGGAGAGAGAAAGUAAUAUUUGCCUAAUGUAAAUUUUACUGUUCGGUUUCAUAAGACUGAGUUAACUGUACUAACAAAACUAAUACAUAUUUAAAAUGUAUUUUAAAAUAGUUAUUAAAUAAAUUUUGAUAAUAGAACAUA